UAUUGGACAAUGGGGGGAACCCUGAUCCAGCGACGCCGCGUGAGUGAAGAAGUAUCUCGGUAUGUAAAGCUCUAUCAGCAGGGAAGAAGAAAUGACGGUAUCUGAGUAAGAAGCCUCUGCUAACUAUGUGCCAGCAGCCGCGGUAAUACGUAGGGGGCAAGCGUUAUCCGGAAUUACUGGGUGUAAAGGGAGCGUAGACGGUGAUGUAAGUCUGGAGUGAAAGGCGGGAGCCCAACCCCCAGACUGCUCUGGAAACUAUGUGACUGGAGUGCAGGAGAGGUGAGCGGAAUUCCUAGUGUAGCGGUGAAAUGCGUAGAUAUUAGGAGGAACACCAGUGGCGAAGGCGGCUCACUGGACUGUAACUGACGUUGAGGCUCGAAAGCGUGGGGAGCAGACAGG
rnacentral:rRNA from 1 species